UCCCAGGUCCACCUGGCUCCUGGAGCAGUAAGGUGAACAGCAUCCGUUGCCCCAUACACAUGUGGCAGCUGCGAACAAGAGCAACGUGCUCACCGUAAGUGGCGAUGAUGGCGAGGAUCUCCCCACCACGGACUUGGAACGACAAUCCCGCGAUCGGGAGAAACUUGCUGCCAGACCACCGAACAGCCGCUGACCCAGCCUGUAGAAGCUCAGCUGGAACAUCAGGUCUCGAACUUGCGUGACAGUGGCCACAUUUAUCGUCACGACAACGAGGCAAUUGACACACUUGUUGGAAAUGACGACAAACGCUUGGUCACACAGACACACAAAUAAAGAGACUCAAGACAGCGCUGGUCACAAGACCAGAAGAGGACGACGAUGGCGGCUUUUAGCGCCGAUGACGUGCAAGACGACUCAUGCUUUUGUACCACGAGUCUAACUAAUAAGUAUUUCCGGGGUAGAUCUUCCGUAGCCUCAGGAGAGGUUGGGGCGGUUCAUCGAAAUAGAGCAUCGGUAACACAGGCUCACCAAGUUACGCUGUUGGUAACGGCAGAGGAAACGCAAGGAGUGAAACGUUGGUGGAUGGCAUGAAUAGUCCAAAGAACGGAAAACCACGCACGACGGCAAAAUGUGAUGUUCAUGGGAGCGUAUUCUAUUCGCGCACUGUUUUUCACCAAGUCACCAAGGUGUUCCGGGACUCGUUUAAGCCUGUACUGCACAACGCAGAUUCUGUGUAGUGCGCGUUAGAGACUUUGUAAUUUAAAUUUAUGCACGUGGAACACAAGUAGUGAUAUCAAUUCAUAA